rnacentral:rRNA from 1 species
UAAGCGAGUAAGGGCAUGCGGUGGAUGCCUUGGCGCCAGGGGCCGAUGAAGGGCGCGGCACACUGCGAAAAGCCUCGGGGAGCCGUGUGCGGGCGUUAUGACCCGGGGGUGCCCGAAUGGGGAAACCCGCCUGGGGUGAACCCCAGGCAUCCGUGGCUGAAUCCAUAGGCCACGGAGGGGCACGGGGGGAACUGAAACAUCUUAGUACCCCCAGGAAAAGAAAUCAACCGAGAUUCCCCAAGUAGUGGCGAGCGAACGGGGAAGAGCCUAAACCCACAGGGUGUCAAAGCCCGAGGGCGUUGUCCUGUGGGGGUUGUGGGACCCAUCCGGAGGCGGCCUCGGACGCCUCAGGGAGUUACCAAGCCUUGGCCUAGCCGAAGCGGUCUGGAAAGGCCCGCCAUAGAGGGUGAUAGCCCCGUAGGCGAAAGGUCGAAGGCCUCCCGGGGAUGGGAUCCCGAGUACCACGGCCCACGGGGAAGGUCGUGGGAAGCAGGGGGGACCACCCUCCAAGGCUAAAUACCCCUGGCGACCGAUAGCGCACCAGUACCGUGAGGGAAAGGUGAAAAGAACCCCGGUGAGGGGAGUGAAAUAGAACCUGAAACCGCAUGCCUACAAGCGGUCCGAGGGCUAUGGCCCCUUCGGGGGCAAUGCCUGAGGGCGUGCCUUUUGGAGAAUGAGCCGGCGAGUUACUCUCGGUGGCGAAGGCUAAGGGGGUCACACCCGGAGCCGGAGCGAAAGCGAGUCCGAACAGGGCGUCCCGUCGCCGGGAGUAGACGCGAAACCGGGUGAGCUACCCAUGGCCAGGGUGAAGCGGGGCUAAUCCCCCGUGGAGGCCCGAACCCAUCACCAGUGCAAAGGUGUGGGAUGAGCUGUGGGUAGGGGUGAUAUGCCAAUCGAACCCGGAGAUAGCUCGUUCUCCCCGAAAUAGCUUUAGGGCUAGCCUCACGCGGUCCGUGGCGGAGGUAGAGCACUGGUAGGGCUAGGGGCGUUAUGCUACCGAACCCUGUCAAACUCCGAAUGCCGCCACGUGCAGCGUGGGAGUCGGACCGUGGGGGAUAACCUCCAUGGUCGAGAGGGGAACAACCCAGACCGCCUGCUAAGGCCCCCAAGUCCGGGCUCAGUGGGAAAGGAUGUGGGGCUGCUGUGACAGCCAGGAGGUUGGCUUAGAAGCAGCCAUCCUUUAAAGAGUGCGUAACAGCUCACUGGUCGAGCGGCCCUGCGCCGAAAAUGUAACGGGGCUCAAGCCCGGCGCCGAAGCAGCGGGCUCCCGCGUCGAUGAGGCACGGGAGCGGUAGGGGAGCGUUCCGCACGCGUGGAAGCGCGACCGUGAGGACGCGUGGAGCGUGCGGAAGUGAGAAUGCCGGCACGAGUAGCGGAAGACGCGUGAGAACCGCGUCCGCCGAAGGCCUAAGGUUUCCGACGCAAGGUCGAUCCGCGUCGGGUUAGGCGGGACCUAAGGCGAGGCCGAAAGGCGUAGCCGAUGGACAGCCGGUUAAUAUUCCGGCCCCACCCGGGUGGAGCGAAGGGGGGACGCAGGAGGGUAGGCCAGCCGGCCGCUGGCAGCGCCGGUGCCAAGUCCUUAGGGCGAUGAAGGCGGCAGGCAAAUCCGCCGCCGGAGCCUGAGGGAUGAUGGCGAGCCGGGGAAACCCGGCGGAAGUGGUCGAGCCCACACUGCCGAGAAAAGCCUCUAAGCGUUGAAGCCCGGGUGCCCGUACCGCAAACCGACACCGGUAGGCUGGCGUAAGCGCGCCAAGGCGGACGGGAGAACCCUCCUCAGGGAACUCGGCAAACUGACCCCGUAACUUCGGGAGAAGGGGUGCCUCGCGUAGGGUGAGGCCUUCGGGCCGAGCCCGAGGAGGCCGCAGUGAACAGGCCCUGGCGACUGGUUACCUAAACCACAGGUCUCUGCUAACCCGUAAGGGGAUGUAUAGGGGCCGACGCCUGCCCAGUGCCGGAAGGUUAAGGGGAGGGGUGACCCGGCUUCGGCCGGUGUAGCCCUGAACUGAAGCCCCGGUGAACGGCGGCCGUAACUAUAACGGUCCUAAGGUAUCGCCGGAAAGGCGCUGCCUGCCUGUCGGGUAACCGACAGGGCAAUACCCGGCUGUAUGCGGGAAAGCCCUGAGAGCCCUCCCUACGUCUCCGGCGGAAGGCCGGCGUCAAAAUGGUGAGGGAUUGGGUAACCCGCAGGAAACCCCCGGGAUCACUCCCGGAGGGGAUCCUCAGAGACCAUACGCCGGGCAUCCGGUCAGGAGGCCAUCCUAUGGAGCUGUCGCCGGACUGGGUGGUGGGGUUUGUGGAUGGCGAAGGUUGUUUCCAUAUUUCCAUCAUCCGCCACCCUUCUAUGAAGGUCGGCUAUCAGGUGUUGCCGGAGUUCGUGGUCGUCCAGCACCGCCGCGAUGUGCAGGUGCUCUAUGCCUUGAAACGGUUCUUCCGGUGUGGUGUGGUUCGCCCCAAUCACGAAGAUCGCUACGCUUACCGGGUCCGGCGGCUGGAGUGCCUGGAGCGCAUCUGUGAGUUCUUUUUCCAGCACCCCUUGAAAACUCGGAAGAACGUCGAGAUGCGCCGCUUCUGGAAGGUCCUCCUCCUGAUGAGGGAGGGGCGACAUCGGACCCGAGAGGGAUUGCUGGAGAUCCUCGAAAUCGCGGCACGCAUGAACUCGGCCGACCGUCCGGCCCUGGAACGGAUCCGCCAGGAGCUCCUGACCGGAUGAAGAGAUGGCCCACCCCGCAGCGAAAGCUGUGGAACACGGUGAGCGAAAUUCCUUGUCGGGUAAGUGAGAACUUGCCCCUUCGUCCCGUGAGGGACGAUGAAAAGCCGGCUCAUAUCGGGGGAGCCCUCCUGCUACUGUGCGGGUGGCGUGGGGUAACCCCGAGGGAAGUCAGCCCAACCUUUAGGUUGGGCUUGACCCCGUAACGACUGACCCGAAAGGGGAGGCGCGGUUUCCCACCCCGCGCAAAACGCCGGCCCUCACCCCUUGCCCUCAACCUGGGCAAGAAGGAAGCAUCUAUGGAGCCUCUUUCCGAACGAGGUGGGGUGAAAUGUCUCCGCUUGACCCAUGGUAUGUAACCGGCCUGGUGGAUGGUGAGGGUUGUUUCAUGGUGAGCUUCAAUCUCCGAUCUUCGCUGUCCACGGGCAUCGAAGUCCGCCCCGCUUUUGCCGUGGCAUUGAAUCGGCGGUCGCUGGAAGUCUUGAAGAAGCUACACCGAUUCUUCGGCUGUGGAGCCAUCCGAUAUUCUCGGAGUGACCGCACCUAUAAGUGGGAGGUGCGUUCUGUCCCGGAUAUCGUUCGGCGAGUGCUCCCCCACUUUGAGCGCUACCCCCUCCAAACGGCAAAGCGGGAGGACUUCGAGCGAUUCGCUCAGAUUUGCCGGUGGGUUUAUGCGAACCAUCACCGAAACCGCGAAUGCCUAAAGCGCAUCAUAGAGUUGGCCUACGAGAUGAACCCAAGCGGCAAACGCCGUUAUCGGAAAGAGGAACUCCUAAGGGUGCUUGGGUGAGGUGAAGGGAUAGUCUGCCGCCAGCGGAAACGCUGGGGAAAAGGUGAAGUUCCGACCCGCACGAAAGGCGUAACGACCGGGGCGCUGUCCCGAGGAGGGUCCCGGCGAAACUGCGAACUGCGUGAAGACGCGCAGUGCCCGCAGCGGGACAAAAAGACCCCGUGGAGCUUUACUG